GCUUAAACUUUCCAACUUUAUUUUCUGAUUUCUGAUCGAUCUGAUCGAUUCCACGGACAUAAUGUUCACGGGCUCCGCACUCAUGUUCCCCGGCGGCUCCGCCUGAAGUCCCGCUGACUCCCGGAGCCUCCCGGCGGUACCGGAGCUCUACUUGUUGCUAAAGUUAGCCGUUAGCUCCGCGCAGCUAGCGGGGCCGUUUGCUCGCUCUGUCUGGGUUGCGAGCUCCGAGCCCCGGCGGAGGGUCGCUGUUCUCGCCGCUGGAGCUUUGACACGCCGGGAGAGGGCGCUUCCAGGUGGGAAGUGGGACCGGAAUGGGCACCAGAAGUGGACCCGGGUCGGCGGGCAACGGAACCGGGCUCAGCAGCCUCCCCGGGAACACAACCGCCUCGGGGACCGACGGAGGCCAAUUCGAGGACCGGGAGUUCAGCUCCGAGGUGGUCUACAGCGGCUCCGACCAGGACUCCGACUCAGGGGAGGACGAGGACACGGCGGUUUCAGGCGGGGACCGGAGGGGCGUGAAGCGAGAGCGGAGCGACAGGGAGGUCGGGCGGCAGGCGGCGCAGAGCUCCGGAGGCCUGAGCGAGGGGUUCGGCGGGGUCGGUGCCGGGGUACCAGGGGUCAAACCCGGCAAGAAGACCAGAGGGAGGGUCAAGAUCAAGAUGGAGUUCAUCGACAACAAGCUGAGGAGGUACACGACGUUCAGCAAGCGGAAGACCGGCAUCAUGAAGAAGGCCUAUGAGCUGUCCACGCUGACGGGGACGCAGGUCCUGCUGCUGGUUGCCAGUGAGACGGGUCACGUUUACACGUUUGCCACCAGGAAGCUGCAGCCGAUGAUCACGUCUGAGACGGGGAAGGCUCUGAUCCAGACCUGCCUCAACUCGCCCGACUCGCCGCCGCGCUCCGACCCAUUGUCCGACCAGAGGAUGAGCGCCACGGGCUUCGAGGAGACGGACCUCACCUACCAGGUCCCCGAGACAGACGGCUGCUUGGACGGCGGAAAGGAUGUGAUCAAACCCACCUUCAGCCUUCCUGCCUCCACAACUUCAUCCUCCUCCUCCUCCUCCAAUGGGACGGUGCUGAAGACCUCAGCAGGUGUCGUGCUUCCUGGAGGAUUUACCUUGAUGUCAGCUCACCUUUCUCUGGCCCCGCCCCUCCUCCACCUGUCCACAGGUGCGUCGCUGCCCUCCGUCACACACACCAUCCCCCUCAGCCAGCUGCAGGGCCCCGCGGCCCCAGGCCCCGCCCCCACACUGCACUCUCCGCCCACACAGCCGACCAAGCUGCUCCGCCUCCCUGCCACUAUGUCACUGUCAGGUCCUACAGUUUCUCAGCAGCUUCAGACCAUCCAGGUUCAACCCAGCAGUCAGCAGACCUCCACCAAUCAGAGCAGCCCUGACAUCCACAGCCCCGCCUCCUCCACAGCCAUUUCCAUCGUCUCCUCGUCCUCCUCCUCGGUAGCGGGUCACAUGAUGUACCCCGGCGGUCACACGGUGAUGUACGCCACCCCCACGCCCUCAUUGGGCGACAGCAGCCUGACUGUCCUCAACACCUUCCCCCCAACAGGCCACGCCCAGUCACACGACCCUGCUGUCCCACAGGUCUUCCUCACUUCGCUUCCUCCAGUUGCUGCUCAGAUUCCAGUUUCUGCAGUGCAGCUUCACCCAACAGUGAACUACUUUUUCCAUCCAGCUGUAAAAACAGACUGCAGCUGCUUCAGGCUUGGCUCAGGGGUUCUCAAUGGAAACCAGAGUUAGUGUGAAGCUCAGACAGUGUGAAGGAACCUUAAGAACAUCAACCUCUAUGGACGGAGGACCAGAACUAAACCUGGUUGCUGGAGUCCAGAUGUUUGAUGGUGAUCAGUCAGCAGAACAGCAGUAACCUGACGGAGUUGCAGGUGGUCAGUCUGGACGUCCACCAAUCAAAAGAGGACUGAGAGUCACAUGACCGUCCACCAAUCAAAAGAGGACUGAGAGUCACAUUACCGUCUCACCUGGAUCUGAGGUGUUUUAGUUUAGAUCAGACCAGGAGAACCAAACCUGACAGACUGAUGUCCAGGAGAAUGUAGUGAUGAUGUCACUGACAGGUAUCUGUGUGUGUGUGUGUGUGUGGGUGUGGGUGUGUGUGUGUGUGUGUGUGUGUGUGUGUGUGUGUGUGUGUGUGUGUAUAUAUAAGAUGAAAACUAAAAGUGCCAAAGUGUGGUUCAGACAUUCCUGUUGCAGGUUUAGCUGUUUGAAUGAUGAGAACGUGGGUCAGAGGUUCCUCUAAUGUCCUGUCUUGACCAGAGAUCUUCAGUUUGUGUUAUUGUUGGAGCACGGCUGUGACUGUUUCUUCUGAAACGAUCAAUAAAACACUUUUGGACCAAA